rnacentral:rRNA from 1 species
GAUGAACGCUGGCUACAGGCUUAACACAUGCAAGUCGAGGGGAAACGACGGGGAAGCUUGCUUCCCCGGGCGUCGACCGGCGCACGGGUGAGUAACGCGUAUCCAACCUGCCUCUGACUGAGGGAUAACCCGUCGAAAGUCGGCCUAAUACCUCAUGGUAUCGUCUGCGGGCAUCCAACGACGAUUAAAGAUUUCAUCGGUCAGGGAUGGGGAUGCGUCUGAUUAGCUUGUUGGCGGGGUAACGGCCCACCAAGGCUACGAUCAGUAGGGGUUCUGAGAGGAAGGGCCCCCACAUUGGAACUGAGACACGGUCCAAACUCCUACGGGAGGCAGCAGUGAGGAAUAUUGGUCAAUGGGCGAGAGCCUGAACCAGCCAAGUAGCGUGCAGGAAGACGGCGCUAUGGGUUGUAAACUGCUUUUAUGCGGGGAUAAAGUGAGGGACGUGUCCCUCAUUGCAGGUACCGCAUGAAUAAGGACCGGCUAAUUCCGUG